UAGCUCAGUUGGUAGAGUGCUUGCCUUGCAAGCAUGAGGCCCUGGGCUCCAUUCCUAG
rnacentral:tRNA from 1 species